CUGGAGAAUCCUAUGGACAGCAGAGCCUGGCAGGCUACAGUCCAUGGGGUCGCAAAAGAGGCAGACACGACUUAGUGACUCAACAAAGUGUAUAAAAUAGAAAACUCAUACAAAAGCUUAAAAAGUUAACAUAAACUGAGGACAACCAAGAGAGCAUGGACUUUUAAUGACAGUGGAGGCUCCAAGGACACAGUCAUCUAAUUAGGUCCCAGCAGUCCCAGCCCAGGACCCAAGGAGGAGGAAGUAGCAUUCACCGAGCUCUAUUAUAUGCAAGGAGCUCUGCAGAUGCUAUCACCAGGCGUCAGCUCUGCAAGGCCCUGAAACUCCUCUUUUAUAUUCAGGUUUUGCAGGCACCACAAAAAGAGGUGGAAGACUUGCCUUCUUUUUCCAUUUUCUAAAAGAGUUUACUUAUAAAAGAUGACAUUAUUUUCCCUUAAAUAUUUGGCUGAAAUUCACUAUGAAAUCAUAUGGGCCUACAGUUUUCUUUGUGGGAAGGUUUUUAAAUUACGGAUUCAAUUUUUUAAAUAAUUGUAG
ensembl:lncRNA